rnacentral:rRNA from 1 species
UACGGGGGGGGUAAGCGUUGCUCGGAAUUACUGGGCGUAAAGGGCUCGUAGGCGGCCAACUAAGUCAUACGUGAAAUCCCUCAGCUUAACUGGGGAACUGCGUGUGAUACUGGAUGGCUUGGAUUUGGGAGAGGGAUGCGGAAUUCCAGGUGUAGCGGUGAAAUGCGUAGAUAUCUGGAGGAACACCGGUGGCGAAGGCGGCAUCCUGGACCAAUAUUGACGCUGAGGAGCGAAAGCUAGGGGAGCAAACGGG